rnacentral:tRNA from 1 species
GGAUUGUGGCUCAGUGGUAGAGCGCUCACCUAGCAUGGGCGCCACCCGGGUUUGAUUCUCAGCACCA